rnacentral:rRNA from 1 species
CCUACGGGAGGCUGCAGUAGGGAAUCUUCCACAAUGGGCGAAAGCCUGAUGGAGCAACGCCGCGUGUGUGAUGAAGGCUUUCGGGUCGUAAAGCACUGUUGUAUGGGAAGAACAGCUAGAAUAGGAAAUGAUUUUAGUUUGACGGUACCAUACCAGAAAGGGACGGCUAAAUACGUGCCAGCAGCCGCGAUAACACGUAUGUCCCGAGCGUUAUCCGGAUGUAGUAGGCGUAAAGCGAGCGCAGCCGGGUUAUUAAGGCUGAGGUGAAAGCGCGGAGCGGAACUGCGGAAUGGCAUUGGAAACUGGGUAACUUGAGUGCAGGAGAGGUAAGUGGAACUGGAUGUGUAGCGGUGGAAUGCGUAGAUAUAGGGAAGAACACCAGUGGCGAAGGCAGCUUACUGGACUGCGAGUGACGUUGAGGGUCGAAAGUGUGGGUAGCGAACAGGAUUAGAUACCCCAGUAGUC